rnacentral:rRNA from 1 species
UGGGGAAUAUUGCACAAUGGGCGCAAGCCUGAUGCAGCCAUGCCGCGUGUGUGAAGAAGGCCUUCGGGUUGUAAAGCACUUUCAGCGAGGAGGAAGGUGGUGAGCUUAAUACGCUCAUCAAUUGACGUUACUCGCAGAAGAAGCACCGGCUAACUCCGUGCCAGCAGCCGCGGUAAUACGGAGGGUGCAAGCGUUAAUCGGAAUUACUGGGCGUAAAGCGCACGCAGGCGGUUUGUUAAGUCAGAUGUGAAAUCCCCGGGCUCAACCUGGGAACUGCAUUUGAAACUGGCAAGCUAGAGUCUCGUAGAGGGGGGUAGAAUUCCAGGUGUAGCGGUGAAAUGCGUAGAGAUCUGGAGGAAUACCGGUGGCGAAGGCGGCCCCCUGGACGAAGACUGACGCUCAGGUGCGAAAGCGUGGGGCAGCAAACAGGAUUAGAUACCCUGGUAGUCCACGCUGUAAAACGAUGUCGAUUUUGGAGGUUGUGCCCUUGAGGCGUGGCUUCCGGAGCUAACGCGUUAAAUCGACCGCCUGGGGAG